UUAGAGUUUGAUCCUGGCUCAGGAUGAACGCUAGCUACAGGCUUAACACAUGCAAGUCGAGGGGAAACGACAUCGAAAGCUUGCUUUUGAUGGGCGUCGACCGGCGCACGGGUGAGUAACGCGUAUCCAACCUGCCCACCACUUGGGGAUAACCUUGCGAAAGUAAGACUAAUACCCAAUGACGUCUCUAGAGGACAUCUGAAAGAGAUUAAAGAUUUAUCGGUGAUGGAUGGGGAUGCGUCUGAUUAGCUUGUUGGCGGGGUAACGGCCCACCAAGGCUACGAUCAGUAGGGGUUCUGAGAGGAAGGUCCCCCACAUUGGAACUGAGACACGGUCCAAACUCCUACGGGAGGCAGCAGUGAGGAAUAUUGGUCAAUGGACGAGAGUCUGAACCAGCCAAGUAGCGUGCAGGAUGACGGCCCUAUGGGUUGUAAACUGCUUUUAUAAGGGAAUAAAGUGAGUCUCGUGAGACUUUUUGCAUGUACCUUAUGAAUAAGGACCGGCUAAUUCCGUGCCAGCAGCCGCGGUAAUACGGAAGGUCCGGGCGUUAUCCGGAUUUAUUGGGUUUAAAGGGAGCGUAGGCCGGAGAUUAAGCGUGUUGUGAAAUGUAGAUGCUCAACAUCUGCACUGCAGCGCGAACUGGUUUCCUUGAGUACGCACAAAGUGGGCGGAAUUCGUGGUGUAGCGGUGAAAUGCUUAGAUAUCACGAAGAACUCCGAUUGCGAAGGCAGCUCACUGGAGCGCAACUGACGCUGAAGCUCGAAAGUGCGGGUAUCGAACAGGAUUAGAUACCCUGGUAGUCCGCACGGUAAACGAUGGAUGCCCGCUGUUGGUCUGAAUAGGUCAGCGGCCAAGCGAAAGCAUUAAGCAUCCCACCUGGGGAGUACGCCGGCAACGGU
rnacentral:rRNA from 1 species